GCCGCUGCCUGCCCUCGGCUCCAGCCCGUUGCAGCUGCCCAGGGUGGAGGAGGCUGUGCCCAAGGUGUGCCUGGACCUCACUGGUGGGGAGAGAGCUGGAGAGCAGCAGGAGCUGGCAGCUGGCUGUCCUGUUCCCUUGCAGCUGGCCUUGGAGGAGGCUGCAGAGGAAAGGUCUGCCCCAGCCAUCCAGCAGGCAGAUGUGCAGCAGGAAGCAAAGGAAGCAGGCCUCCUGCUGCAGGGCUUGACUGCCAGCCAGCCAGAGGGGUGAGUGUCCUUGUGCCACCUCCCUGUGCCACUUCCUCCUGGCUGCUCAGAGA